GUGGCGCACGGGUGCGUAACGCGUAACCAACCUGCCCUGAACUGGGGGAUAGCCCGCCGAAAGGCGGAUUAAUACCGCAUAAACCAACAGCGUGGCAUCACGCAAUUGGUAAAGAUUUAUUGGUUCAGGAUGGGGUUGCGUGACAUUAGCUAGAUGGCGGGGUAACGGCUCACCAUGGCGACGAUGUCUAGGGGACCUGAGAGGGUGAUCCCCCACACUGGCACUGAGAUACGGGCCAGACUCCUACGGGAGGCAGCAGUAGGGAAUAUUGGGCAAUGGGCGAGAGCCUGACCCAGCCAUGCCGCGUGCAGGAUG
rnacentral:rRNA from 1 species